rnacentral:lncRNA from 1 species
CCUGAAGAAACUACAGGCAGAACACACUGCCAGUCUUACUCUCCUUUCCUGUGGGGAUGGGGAUGGGGGGGGGGUGUAACUGACCACAGUAGGGCUAUUUGCUGGGAAAAUGUUUUUUUUUUUUCCAUAUUUAUUAAUUUGGCUGCGCUGGGUCUUAUUUGUGGCAUGUGGAAUCUAUUUUCCGAGCCAAGGAUCGAACAUGGGCCCCCUGCAUUGGAAGCAUGGAGUCUCAGCCACUGGACCACCGGGGAAGUCCCUGCUGAAAUGUUUAAACUUGGCCCAUCGGCUGGCCAGUACUAGAUUUUUCCAUCACAGGUCCUGAAGGAAACAGUGAUUAUACAGAUCUACAAGGAGACUUGCUUACAGAUGGACAGCCUAAUACAGCUGCAGGAAAAUUAGGUAACUUGCAAGCUCGUAACAUGAGUGGCUGGGGAAAACUUCCCCUUUCCCUUAUCCACAAAACACCAAGGCAGCCAAGGGCCGUCAGCUGUCCUAACACCACACGCAGUCCCUCAGAGCCUUACUGUCUCGUUUCACGUGGAAAAUAACAGAAAUACCCUCAAUGGUGAAGAAAGGUCACAAAAAUGGCCAAGAUCAACAUUUGAACCAAUCCCCGGCAACGAUAUAUCCACCCCAAACACCCUACAAUAGAAAGCAGAAUCAGCUCCAUGGUGGCCGCCAGUCACCAGACUGUCUGGCACCCCCACCCACCCAGCCAAAAGCACCCGCCCUUCCCUCUCUUUAAGCCGCAAACACUACAAAGCAUUAAGACUAUAACUGGGAAGGAGGCUCCGAGACACACAUUUAAACCAAGAAAAUCUUCUUCAAGUUUCAGCAUGCCGUUACAAUAAUGCCCAACACCAAACCCGGAAGUGCCUGAGAGAUCUUCUCCGCCAUCCACCCAGGAGCCCGCAGACACGUCUGUCAAAGUGUCCGUCAGGACACACCAUUUACCCGACUCUCCACUCACACCGCAGACAGCCAAAUACGAAUAACGUUAGUAAAACUUACACUUUUGCCAUUUCCGGAAAGGGAGCCGCCAUGUUAAAUCCUAACCGAGGAAAACGGUCUACGGAAGCCCCAUAGCACAAUCCAGACAGUCAGGAGCUUAGGCACGUGCUAGGGCUUCUUCCGCCUUUCACGCCCCCGCCUCCCAACAUCGUCAUUGGUGGGCCUGCGAUGAUUGACGGGGACAAUGGCCAUUCCUCUCAGCUAGGUCUACUGGUGGGAAACUGUCCAUUUCCCAAGGCCCAGCUGACGUCAUGAAAUCUCUGCUCGUAUUCCUAAGUCUUUCUAUAUCCGUGUCCAUCCCUCAAAGCCUA